GCUAGGUGGCGCUGCAAUUUAAGCGUUGGGAUAUUUUGAUAACCGACAUGAUCUGAAAUACGACUGUUUACACGGACCAGCCAAAGAACCGAUGAAAUGGGAGACAACAGAAGAAUUGCGCAGGUCCGCACGGCUCGUUCAGUCAUCUGCCGAGUCCUUCUCCUUGACGGAAAGUUAUUCGAAAUAGAUGUGGAUAAACGUGCAGUCGGUCAGAUUCUUUUCGACAAAGUGUGUGAACACCUGGAUCUUGUGGAGAAGGACUAUUUCGGACUCUCUUUCACCGGACUCCACACCGGAC